rnacentral:rRNA from 1 species
AUUGAACGCUGGCGGCAGGCUUAACACAUGCAAGUCGAGCGGGGAAAGGUAGCUUGCUACCUAACCUAGCGGCGGACGGGUGAGUAAUGCUUAGGAAUCUGCCUAUUAGUGGGGGACAACAUUCCGAAAGGAAUGCUAAUACCGCAUACGCCCUACGGGGGAAAGCAGGGGAUCUUCGGACCUUGCGCUAAUAGAUGAGCCUAAGUCAGAUUAGCUAGUUGGUGGGGUAAAGGCCUACCAAGGCGACGAUCUGUAGCGGGUCUGAGAGGAUGAUCCGCCACACUGGGACUGAGACACGGCCCAGACUCCUACGGGAGGCAGCAGUGGGGAAUAUUGGACAAUGGGCGAAAGCCUGAUCCAGCCAUGCCGCGUGUGUGAAGAAGGCCUUUUGGUUGUAAAGCACUUUAAGCGAGGAAGAGGCUACUUGGAUUAAUACUCUAGGAUAGUGGACGUUACUCGCAGAAUAAGCACCGGCUAGCUCUGUGCCAGCCGCCGCCGUAA